UACACACCGCCCGUCACACCAUGGGAGUCAGUAACGCCCGAAGCCGGUGACCCAACCGAUAAGGAGGGAGCCGUCGAAGGUGGGACCGAUAACUGGGGUGAAGUCGUAACAAGGUAGC
rnacentral:rRNA from 1 species